UCUCUGAAUCCUAAAACCUCAUAAAACUCCUGGUACGUGGCCCAGGGAGUCGAUGUCACUAUAGGACACCAUUUCUUCUUAGUACCCAACCUGAAGUGACGGAGCAUCUCAACCGGAUUAGCAACAACCUACGGAUCAUCACGCGACAAAUCAGUGAACCUCCUGUAAUGCUCAAUAGCUGACAUCUUUCCUUGCUUCAAA
rnacentral:lncRNA from 1 species